AAAUAAGUUAUAUGAUCAUACAAUUAUUGUUGAUCAAAUCGAUUGAAUCCCAUAUAUAAAAUCAAUUAACCUAAGGACCUAAUUUGGCUCAAUGGCUUGAGCACGAUUCGCUUGAGCUAACCUAUUUAGACCCAUUAACCUAUUGGUGUCUAAGGCAAGUAAUUGAGAGAUGGUUAUUUAAUUAGUUUUGCUAGCUGACC
rnacentral:lncRNA from 1 species